GAUGAACGCUAGCUACAGGCUUAACACAUGCAAGUCGAGGGGCAGCGGGAUUGAAGCUUGCUUCAAUUGCCGGCGACCGGCGCACGGGUGAGUAACGCGUAUCCAACCUUCCGUACACUCAGGGAUAGCCUUUCGAAAGAAAGAUUAAUACCUGAUGGUAUCUUAAGCACACAUGUAAUUAAGAUUAAAGAUUUAUCGGUGUACGAUGGGGAUGCGUUCCAUUAGGUAGUAGGCGGGGUAACGGCCCACCUAGCCAACGAUGGAUAGGGGUUCUGAGAGGAAGGUCCCCCACAUUGGAACUGAGACACGGUCCAAACUCCUACGGGAGGCAGCAGUGAGGAAUAUUGGUCAAUGGACGAGAGUCUGAACCAGCCAAGUUAGCGUGAAGGAUGAACGGGUCCUACCGGAUUGUAAACUCUUUUAUAAGGGAAUAAAACCCUCCCCACGUGUGGGAGCUUGUAUGUACCUUAUGAUAAA
rnacentral:rRNA from 1 species